rnacentral:lncRNA from 10 species
GAUACAUUGAAGUCAGCUUCCAAAGAAUGCCACCCAAGGUUUUGAAGGGGCACAGUGCCUCUGUCCUCACAAAACCAGCCUGCAUAUGAGUUUACUGAAUUCAUUUAGGUCCUGCUGAAUCUUUCCCAUUUGUUCCUUCUCUGUUUCAAUAUUUCAAUGCUUCCCUGGAGGGGCCCAACCUUUCUGGAGGGCAAAGAUCUGUUGUUAGAGAAAAAGAGCAGCCAGAGGAGGAAGAUGACUUGAGGAUUAGAAAACUGAAGCUUCAAGAACAGACUUGCCUAACAACAGGAAACUUGUAUGUCUCGAAGUGGCAAUUCACACAUAAGGCUCCAUGACUCCUGAACUCUCACAAAUAUUAGUUGGCUCUUUUCAUGGUUUUACUGAAGUUGCUAGAAGUUUACAGAAAAGGAAGUGCAGGAACAUUUCACAAAUCUACAAUCUGUGAGUAUCACAUCCUGUAUAGCUGUAAACACUGGAAUAAGGAAGGGCUGAUGACUUUCAGAAGAUGAAGGUAAGUAGAAACCGUUGAUGGGACUGAGAAACCAGAGUUAAAACCUCUUUGGAGCUUCUGAGGACUCAGCUGGAACCAACGGGCACAGUUGGCAACACCAUCAUGACAUCACAACCUGUUCCCAAUGAGACCAUCAUAGUGCUCCCAUCAAAUGUCAUCAACUUCUCCCAA